rnacentral:misc_RNA from 1 species
GAAACUUCUGACCACAGUAGCAACAAUACCCAGCACUAGGAAUGCAGCAAAGAAAUCAAAGCCCCCUCCAAUUCCAACGGCGACACUUGGCCCAGGUGCGAAAAAUGUGAAUGGCGACCACCCCCAACCGCCGAAUGGCACGCCAUACCCGUACCCACCAACUAGGGGUGGCGCCACCGGGGGGUUAAUGUAGAUGUUGGUCCUUGAAUUGUUGAUCCGGGGGCCAGACGGCCUCGGCCCCGCCGACCGGAACGCCUGGCCGCCGACCCUCCCACCGGACUUGGCUGCCAUCGCAUCUCCGACUGACCCGAGUGUCAGCACCCCCGCUGCAAACGUCACGAUGGCCAGCUUCGUCAGCUGCAUCCCGGCUCUGUUUGACUCUGUGUCGUCUGUGCCGUGACUGCCGUCCUUGUCGAGGGAGGAUCGGCAUGAAAGGAACUGGAGACGGUGGGGCUUCUUGGAUUGGUGGUGAGGGUGAGAGAAG